rnacentral:rRNA from 1 species
GAUGAACGCUGGCGGCGUGCCUAAUACAUGCAAGUCGAGCGAACAGACGAGGAGCUUGCUCCUCUGUCGUUUGCGGAGGGCGGGUGUGUAACACGUGUAUAACCUACCUAUAAGACUGAGAUCACUUCGGGAAACCGGCGCUUAUACCGGAUAAUCUAUUGAUGCGCAUGGUUCAAUGGUGAGAGUCGGCUUUGCUGGCUGGUAUAGCUGGAUCCGCGCCUCAUUGGCUAGUUGGUAAGGUAACGGCUUACGACGGCAACGAUGCGUAGCCGGCCUGAGAGCGUGACCGGCCACAAGGGGACUGAGAGACGGACCAGACGCGUACGUGAGGCAGUGGUGGAGAACCUUACGCAAUGAGGGGAAGCCAGAGGUAGCAACGCCGCGUGCGUGAUACUCUGUUACGAGUUAUAAACCGAUGUGGAAUGAAACAAAGCGGGAGUGACGGUAAUGGGUAAGAAAGCAACGGCUAACUACGUG